UGCAGUCGAGCGAACAGAAGGGAGCUUGCUCCCGGAUGUUAGCGGCGGACGNNNNNNAANCGUGGGUAACCUGCCUGUAAGACUGGGAUAACUCCGGGAAACCGGAGCUAAUACCGGAUAGUUCCUUGAACCGCAUGGUUCAAGGAUGAAAGACGGUUUCGGCUGUCACUUACAGAUGGACCCGCGGCGCAUUAGCUAGUUGGUGGGGUAAUGGCUCACCAAGGCGACGAUGCGUAGCCGACCUGAGAGGGUGAUCGGCCACACUGGGACUGAGACACGGCCCAGACUCCUACGGGAGGCAGCAGUAGGGAAUCUUCCGCAAUGGACGAAAGUCUGACGGAGCAACGCCGCGUGAGUGAUGAAGGUUUUCGGAUCGUAAAGCUCUGUUGUUAGGGAAGAACAAGUGCGAGAGUAACUGCUCGCACCUUGACGGUACCUAACCAGAAAGCCACGGCUAACUACGUGCC
rnacentral:rRNA from 1 species